GUGACAAAGUAAUAUGUGAGUGAGAGUAAAAGUAGGAGGUAGUUUGAUGUCUAAGAGAGAAUGAAGGUAGGAGUGUAUAAAUGAGUGAAGGAUGAGGUGUUUAUUAGAGUGGUAGGAGUAAAAAGACAGAGUAAGAGAUAAAUAGAGAGAGAGAGAGAGGGGGAGUACGGACGAGGCAGAAAGUGCGAGGUAAAUCGGCGGCGACGGCGGCGGAAAAGUACGAAAGUGUAAGAUAAGAGAAGAGUUUUAUAGCAAAAGAUUAAGUAGAAUAUGGGGCUUUAUAUAAAUAUAUAUACCACACAUAUAUAUAUGCAUGUAUAUAAAUUCCUUUUACAGACACUCACGGACUUGAACGAACAACUCCGAAGUGAAUUUGAUAAUUUAAUAAAAGGUAAAA